CUAUCUACUGCGGGCGUUAGAAAUUUGAGUGGCCCUGACCCUAGUACGAGAGGACCGGGUCGGACUGACCGCUGGUGUACCGGUUGUCUCGCCAGAGGCAUUGCCGGGUAGCUACGUCGGGAUGGGAUAAGCGCUGAAAGCAUAUAAGCGCGAAACCCGCCACAAGAUGAGAUUUCUUUAAAGGGCCGUGGGAGAUGACCACGUUGAUAGGCCACAGGUGCAAGUGCUGCAAAGUACGCAGCCGAGUGGUACUAAUAGUCCGUUAGGCUUGCGC
rnacentral:rRNA from 1 species